UUGACAGCCCAGGAGAGUGCAUCCCUCUCUUUGUCCACAGAACAGGCACAGCAGGGCAGGAGCUGUGCAAGCUUCCCCCACACUGCCCUGCCAACGUGCCUCCUCCCUUUCAUUGAGAGGCCAUCGGUAGGACUGAGGUUCCCCCUCCAAGGAGGGUUGCCAAGUUUGGGUUGGA
rnacentral:sRNA from 1 species